rnacentral:rRNA from 1 species
UAGAGAUGAAAGUUACUUCGGUACAUCGGUGACAGGUGGUGCAUGGUUGUCGUCAGCUCGUGUCGUGAGAUGUUGGGUUAAGUCCCGCAACGAGCGCAACCCCUAUUGUUAGUUGCCAUCAUUCAGUUGGGCACUCUAGCGAGACUGCCGGUAAUAAACCGGAGGAAGGUGGGGAUGACGUCAAAUCAUCAUGCCCCUUAUGACCUGGGCUACACACGUGCUACAAUGGUUGGUACAACGAGUUGCGAGUCGGUGACGGCGAGCUAAUCUCUUAAAGCCAAUCUCAGUUCGGAUUGUAGGCUGCAACUCGCCUACAUGAAGUCGGAAUCGCUAGUAAUCGCGGAUCAGCACGCCGCGGUGAAUACGUUCCCGGGCCUU